rnacentral:pre_miRNA from 1 species
UGAUGAUGAUGAUGAUGAUGAUGAUGAUGAUGAUGAUGGUGGUGGUGAUGAUGAUGGUCAUCAUCAUCAACAACAACAACAACAACAACAACAACA